rnacentral:rRNA from 1 species
AGCCUCAGGGAUAGAUCUGAGGUUAUACCUGCCCAAUGUGUAAAUGAAUGGCCGCGGUACUUUGACCGUGCUAAGGUAGCGCAAUCAAUUGGCUUUUAAUUGAAGUCAGGAAUGAAUGGAGUUUACGGGGUUCGACUGUCUCCUAGCUAAUUAAUCGAAGUUACUAUAUAGGUGAAAAAGCCUAUAAAUAGAAAAAGGACGAGAAGACCCUUAGAGUUUUACUUAACAUAAUAGUGAGUUAAUUAUUGUACUGGUUUUGUUGGGGCAACAUAGGAGCAAUAAGUAAUAAAUCUCCUAAAUUUUGAUAAACCGAUAAUCUUAAAUAUGAAUAAACUACCUUAGGGAUAACAGCAUAAUUUUAUAAAUAAGUUUGUGACCUCGAUGUUGGACUAGGAAACCUAAGGGCUAGUCGUCUUUAGGGAAAGUUCUGUUCGAACUAUUAUUCCU